rnacentral:rRNA from 1 species
UGAGUAGCUUGCUAUGAACUGUUUUAGCGGCGGACGGGUGAGUAACGCGUGAGCAAUCUGUCCCAGACAGGGGGAUAACAGAUGGAAACAUCUGCUAAUACCGCAUAAGACCACGAGGAGACAUCUUCAUGGGGUAAAAGGAGCAAUCCGGUUUGGGGUGAGCUCGCGUCCGAUUAGCUAGUUGGUGAGGUAACGGCCCACCAAGGCGACGAUCGGUAGCCGACCUGAGAGGGUGAUCGGCCACAUUGGAACUGAGACACGGUCCAAACUCC